rnacentral:lncRNA from 1 species
GAGAGGUUAAAGGCACAGUGUUUGGCAGGAUAUGGCCGAGGCCCAGAUGUGUUAACGACUAAACCCUUGAGAAAUUAACAACUGGAUCAUGGAGACUCUGCUGCUACAAGCCAGGGCAGCAAGCACAGAGCAGUCCAGGGGAGCGGUAGU